GAUUUCAACUGAAAAAGUCAUCAACAUAAAAGUUGUAUAACUCAUCAAUAUCUAUAACUUUUAUUUUGGUCAUUUCUUCAUCCGAUAAAGUACUAGUAACAUUGUUCAAAAAAUUUACAUAUCUUUCUUAUAGUUUGUAAACUAUCUAAGAGAUAUGUAUAUUUUGUGAACACUGUUACAAAUCACUUUGUCGGAUGAACAAAUUACCAAAAUAAAAGUUAUAGAUAUUGAUGAGUUAUACAACUUUGUUGUUGAUGAAUUUUUCAGUUGAAAUU
rnacentral:pre_miRNA from 2 species